rnacentral:rRNA from 1 species
ACUCCUGCGGGAGGCAGCAGUGGGGAAUUUUGGACAAUGGGCGAAAGCCUGAUCCAGCAAUGCCGCGUGAGUGAAGAAGGCCUUCGGGUUGUAAAGCUCUUUUGUCAGGGAAGAAACGGUGAGAGCUAAUAUCUCUUGCUAAUGACGGUACCUGAAGAAUAAGCACCGGCUAACUACGUGCCAGCAGCCGCGGUAAUACGUAGGGUGCAAGCGUUAAUCGGAAUUACUGGGCGUAAAGCGUGCGCAGGCGGUUUUGUAAGUCUGAUGUGAAAUCCCCGGGCUCAACCUGGGAAUUGCAUUGGAGACUGCAAGGCUAGAAUCUGGCAGAGGGGGGUAGAAUUCCACGUGUAGCAGUGAAAUGCGUAGAUAUGUGGAGGAACACCGAUGGCGAAGGCAGCCCCCUGGGUCAAGAUUGACGCUCAUGCACGAAAGCGUGGGGAGCAAACAGGAUUAGAAACCCCAGUAGUCCCAUGAU